ACCGCAUCUGAUCUGUCUCGAUAAUCGGUACGGCUUGGAAUGUGUGUGGCAUGUACCUACAUACUAGUAACAUAGCAUCGGCGUUUUGCAUGGAGACACCAAACCGUCGAGCAGUGUUGGCACGCCCAGCGCCAAGGAGAUUGACUUCGGCUCGGCCAAGCUUAUCGGGCGUCCGUUGAAAGGAGGCGUAGGCCUGUUCGCGGACAUGCUGCAGUUCCGUUGUCCCGAGGUGGCCCACCUACCGAGGGGCGCCGAAAAGGAGGCGUAGGCCUGUUCGCGUACAUGCUGCAGUUCCGUUGUCCCGAGGUGGCCCACCUACCGAGGGGCGCCAUGCAUUCGGCCGUCAGCAACAGAUAAGCACAAGCACACUAUCAAGCUGCAUCAACGCUGACCAUGUUGACUGAGUGCAGAUCGAUGUAGCCAACGCUAGCGCAGCUGAGCUGCUCAGGUGGUAAAGUCCAGUGCUAGUUCGAGGAGAUGGGUGUCGAUUCCAGUGACGAUCCGGUGACAUCCAAUCAGUCAAUUAGGCGCCAACCGUCUUCGCAAUUGACUGCUGGUUUGCGCUUCCUUAUCUCGAUAGCUUCAAGCUGUUGCCUUGAUGGUAGCGAAGCCUCCCUGCCGAGAAUCUUCGCCUGGUGGAAGGGCAGAAAGUUGGAAGACUUUGAAGAUUCUCGAUGCUGGGUACAAUAGUGGAAGCCCCAGGGAGCCUUCGCCACCCGAUCGCCCUUGCCUCUCGGUAGUGCUCAGCGAAUCGGUCCCUCACCGGCCGCUCGGUCUCACCAACGUACAAUUCCGCACACAACGUGCAAGACAUACAAUAGACAACACCUUUGACUGAACACUGAUCCAGUAUCCACCAUACUCGCAUCACAUGCACGACACUCCAUUGGCCGACCUCUCCCUCUCUUCACCUCCGAUCGCUGCUUCUCACGGGCGUGUAUAAACCUUGGAAUUUCCUACCUAGAUGUCAUCUCGAAUGCAGAUGUAUAUGCUGCUACUGGCCAGUGCUCUGUAACUGAAAUGGCCACAUACAUGUAGAAACCUUGGAAUAACCUGCCCAGAUGUCAUCUCGAAUGCAGAUUUAUAUUAUGCUGUUCACUGACUAGCCAGUGCUCUGUAUCUGAAAUGGCCAAGCGGGACAGGUGGAAGCUAUUAGGACAUGUAUUACGCCAGCCAAGUGAUAUCCCUGCAAAUGUUGCUCUCACUGCACAGGAACUCUCGUCCACUCGUCAACCAACCCCGUUUAAAAGAUUGCUAAAAGUGUUUUUCUAAUAUGGCCGAAUAGCACCUCCCUCUGGUAUAGGUCCUCAUCUUCCUAUUUCUCCCUGAUUGUUACUUCGUUCGAACUUGACUUGUAAUUACCGGUACCAAGAGUACAUAACCCCCAUAUGUACUCUUGCCGGUACAAAUACUUCCUAUUGACUGUUUUCUCAUUUUCUCAAGUGCAGCUUUAUCGAGCCACACUUUUUAUUCUAUCGCCAUCAUAAUAUUGGGCAUCAAUGCCCGUUUGGUUUGCGAUGUAAAAUAAAACUUCAAACAAUCAAACAAACUGCUUUCUGUACAUAUGCUACCAGUCAGCCCUUUCGAAUAGGCGCACCCCGCUCUUGCCUCACCACAAGUCUCCAGCGAGACGUCCGCCUCGCACCUAUCUGCAUUUUUAAGCCCAGCUGCCUUCGUGAUCUCGGCAGCUAUGCCCGCGACAGAAAACAAUGGAGUAACGACUGCUCAGCCAUUUACUACUGCUCUUUAUUACAAAAUUGCAAGGCUCUUCUUUUCUUUUUCAUUUCCGGUUCUCCCACUCUCACACACGUACACACACAUGCUCUGCCGUCGUGAGUCCCAUUCGGGACGGAUACGAGAAUAAA